rnacentral:tRNA from 1 species
GCUUUAAAAGGCUAUCAGCUAUCUAUUUUGUAAGUAGGGGGAGAUCGAGCUAAGAUUCGGUUUAAGGCU